GGGCGAGUGGUGGAAUGGUAUACACGAAGGACUUAAAAUCCUUUGCCGCAAGGCUUGUGGGUUCGAAUCCCACCUCGCCCA
rnacentral:tRNA from 1 species